UGGCCCGUAUCCCAACGGAAGAGGAGAUAAGCUUAGAACUUAUUCAUGUGAGCGUUCGAAUCGCUCCGGGUCAACCA
rnacentral:tRNA from 1 species